CGCGUAGGCGGCUUGUACAGUCAGACGUGAAAUUCCUGGGCUCAACCUGGGGGCUGCGUUUGAUACGUGCGGGCUUGAGUUCGGAAGAGGGUCGUGGAAUUCCCAGUGUAGAGGUGAAAUUCGUAGAUAUUGGGAAGAACACCGGUGGCGAAGGCGGCGACCUGGUCCGAUACUGACGCUGAGGCGCGAAAGCGUGGGGAGCAAACAGGAUUAGAUACCCUGGUAGUCCACGCCGUAAACGAUGUGCGCUGGAUGUUGGGUGACAUAGUCACUCAGUGUCGUAGCUAACGCGAUAAGCGCACCGCCUGGGGAGUACGGCCGCAAGGUUGAA
rnacentral:rRNA from 1 species